GUAAUACAUGAGUGGCGCGCGUUACUCGCCUUGAUUGGGUGUUUAGGAUGAGUAGGCAGUUAUACAGGGUAGCUAUACUAAAAUACGUUUGUUGGGGAGGCUACUUCUAUAUAUACUAGAGUUGUAAAGAAGUUACUGCACAGAUAUUUAUAGUGAUAAAAUACAAAAAAAUAUGUAUGUGUACCGGAGUGAAAACAUGUAACUAUUUACCACUGACGCUGAGGCAUGUAGGUAUAAGCUUCGAGUAGGAUUUGUGACCCUAGUAGAUUAUACUGUAAAAGAUGGGUAUUAGUUUACGCGUAAAUACCCCACCUGGGCAGUACAGUUGCAAAAUUGAAACUCAACAGAAUUGGCGGGGAUUUAAACAAACGGUGGAACGUGUGGUUUAAUUUGAUAAUCCACAAAAAAUCUUACCAAUACUAUAGUAUCAUAUGGUUAAAUAUAUAUAUUGUUGUCUAGUUAGUAUUGCAUGGCUGUCGUCAGCUCGCGCCUUGAGGUGUAGGCUUUAGUGCUAAAACGAGCGCAACCCCUAAGUUUGUUAUGUUUUUUAAAUAUUCAAACGGGACUGUUUAGUAUAAUGGGGAGAAGUCAAGUCAUCAUGGUCUUUAUGUAUUGGGCUACACACGCGUUACAAAGGUAAAAACAACACGCAGAAAAAAUUUACAUUAGAAGGAAUCGUCAAAAAUUACCGUGUUCAUAAUAUAGCCUGCAACUUGGCUAUGUUAAGGUGGAAUCGUAAGUAAUCGUGGAUAAGUAUGCCGCGGUGAAUUUAUAGUUAAAUCUUGCACACACCGCCCAUCGCACUCGGAGAGUUUUUUUGAGCCGAAAAGGACAGUUAAACUCCAUAUUUACAGGUAAUAUGGUCUCGUUCAAUUUAAUUUAGGCUUAAUUAAGUAAUUUGAGUUAAGUUGACACA
rnacentral:rRNA from 1 species